rnacentral:rRNA from 1 species
AGAGUUUGAUCAUGGCUCAGAGUGAACGCUAGCGGCGCGCCUAACACAUGCAAGUCGAGUGGGUUUAGACCCACGGCAAACGGCUGCGUAACACGUUGGAAUCUGCCCCGAACUCAGGGAUAUCCCUCCGAAAGGAGGAGUAAUACCGGAUGCCCUCGCAAGAGGAAAGAUUUAUCGGUUCGGGAGGAGCCUGCGGCCUAUCAGUUAGUUGGUGAGGUAACGGCUCACCAAGACGAUGACGGGUAGCUGGUCUGAGAGGACGACCAGCCAGAAUGGAACUGCGACACGGUCCAUACUCCUACGGGAGGCAGCAGUGAGGAAUCUUCCGCAAUGGACGAAAGUCUGACGGAGCGACGCCGCGUGGUGGAUGAAGGCCUUAACUGGUCGUAAACACCUGUUCUGAGGGACGAAAUUUUUGACGGUACCUCAGGAGAAAGUAUCGGCAAACCCUGUGCCAGCAGCCGCGGUAAUACAGGGGAUACAAGCGUUACUCGGAAUUACUGGGCGUAAAGCGUCUGUAGGUGUCCAAGAAAGUCUGGGGUAAAAACUCAGGGCUCAACCCUGAGAUCGUCUCGGAAACUCCUUGGAUUGAGCAGUGGAGAGGCAUCUGGAAUGCCGCAUGUAGGAGUAAAAUCCGUAGAUAUGCGGUAGAACGCCAAAAGCGAAGGCAGGAUGCUAGCCACUUGCUGACACUGAGAGACGAAAGCGUGGGGAGCAAAGGGGAUUAGAUACCCCCGUAGUCCACGCCCUAAACGAUGUGUGCUCGAUGUGGGAGGUUCUCAAUUGCCUUCCGUGUCCAAGCUAACGCGGUAAGCACACCGCCUGGG